GGGGAUAUUUUGGUCCAUGUUAACUUAACAAAUGAUUGUUCCAAAGCAGUUCAAAGGGAAAGGGAAAGUGAAAGUGACUUUCUCAAAUAUAUAUAGAAACCCAAGAAGACCAGCAACAGUCUGGCUGUCAACCAAGGCUGCAAGAUGACGGUGGUCUCUGGGAUAAUGGUUUUUGGUGGUUUACUCCUCUUAUGCUUAGUGCUGUUUGUUCAGAGCUCUUCUAGGAAUGGCUGUUCAUUCACCUACAAUCAAACCACUGAAGUACAUAUUUCCCGGUCCCCAAUCACCAUAGCAAACAUGGAGGACAACUCAAAUGAAGAGAGAUACCAACAGGAUCAUUCCAGAGAGAUCGAGCAUUCUAAGCAAGACUAAAGAUUAAAAUGAAUCAUCUCCCUUCCAGAUGUACAUCAUUCCGCUUCUUCCUUUCCUAAAACCCUAGGGAGAUAUCUCUCACAGUAAGUGCAUUCAAGGGUACAGGUGAAGCUCAGAAGUAGACCCUUGCCUUGCCUGUAUUAGGGUAAAUGAACCCUAACAACAUGAUAUUCUUUAGCUCAGCCCUGCCAGUCUUCACUAAGAAGAUGAAAAUUCAGCUGGUAUUCAUGCAUUAUGUAUUGUCAGCAUCCAUGUGCAUGGUUUCAUAUAUAUACCAUGUAUUUGGCUUUCUGCUUGUGAACUUGUAAAACAGAAAAACAACUACCUAGUCAUCCAAUUUUAUUCUUGUUAUCAUUCAUUCACCUAAUAAAUAUGGAUUGAGCACCUGA